ACUCCUACGGGAGGCAGCAGUGGGGAAUAUUGCACAAUGGAGGAAACUCUGAUGCAGCGACGCCGCGUGAGUGAAGAAGUAUUUCGGUAUGUAAAGCUCUAUCAGCAGGGAAGAUAGUGACGGUACCUGACUAAGAAGCACCGGCUAAAUACGUGCCAGCAGCCGCGGUAAUACGUAUGGUGCAAGCGUUAUCCGGAUUUACUGGGUGUAAAGGGAGUGUAGGUGGCAACGCAAGUCAGAAGUGAGAGCCCAGGGCUCAACCCUGGGACUGCUUUUGAAACUGUGUAGCUAGAGUGCAGGAGAGGUAAGUGGAAUUCCUAGUGUAGCGGUGAAAUGCGUAGAUAUUAGGAGGAACACCAGUGGCGAAGGCGGCUUACUGGACUGUAACUGACACUGAGGCUCGAAAGCGUGGGGAGCAAACAGGAUUAGAUACCCUGGUAGUC
rnacentral:rRNA from 1 species